rnacentral:rRNA from 1 species
UACAGAGGUCCCAAGCGUUGUUCGGAUUCACUGGGCGUAAAGGGUGCGUAGGUGGCCAGGUAAGUUUGAUGUGAAAGCUCGGAGCUUAACUCCGAAAUGGCAUUGAAUACUAUCUGGCUUGAGGGUCGGAGGGGAGACUGGAAUUCUCGGUGUAGCAGUGAAAUGCGUAGAUAUCGAGAGGAACACCAGUGGCGAAGGCGAGUCUCUGGACGACACCUGACACUGAGGCACGAAAGCCAAGGGAGCAAACAGG